UCUCUCGCGUUGCGCCGCCAACGAGAGAGUGGUGGGAUUGUAGCCGUGGUAGAGGGGUGGGAGGCCAGCUGCCACGCAGGGGAAUGAACUUUCGCAGGGGGAGGGAGGAAGGUUGCGGCUCCAUGGUGGAAGUGAGGCAGCCGAAUAUCAUCGCGGAGGAGAGAGAGGAGGGGUGGCGCCGCCAAGGAGGAGAGCAACGACGGGGUGCGGCGUCGAUGCAGAGGAGGGAGGUGACCCACUGCACCGCACGAUUGUACGUGAACAUCUUUGAACUAUUCUGUCAUGAGUCCCCUGCUAUUCAUAUUCAAGCUGUAAUUUUCUCUCAAAUAUUACUUCGCUCUUACUCGUACCAGAUCCAGAUCAGCUGUAAAAAUGUCUAAAGUACUUCUGAAUGUUGAAUGCUUGUUUUUAUCUUAAGAAGAGUAUAUAUAGAUCUGCAGCAUCUCUAAAAUUUAUCAAGUAUCUUUGACUCCCGUUUCUGAAAUUGUAGUUUAUAUCUUGGGAUUGCCAUCUCUGAAAUUGUAGUUUCCUUACCUUCUGUAAGAUUAAGCUUGUUUGGAUGGUUGUGGUUUAUCCAGAUCAGUUGUACGACUUCAUCUUAUGAUGAUCAAGAUUUGUUUUAGUGUCUUCUAGACAUAGUUAACUAGUAUUUUUGGGGCCUCGGUGUACAAGUGGCAUGGCCUGAUUUGUGUAUCCCGAUGAUCAUUCAGUAGCAAGGCUUAUUGCUGCAGAAUUUCUAUGCCAAGUAUCGCUAGUUCAGCCUGAGUUUGAUCUUGACUGUUGUUAGUAUCUGCUCUUGACAACAUGCUCCACUAAUGUUUCUUUGGAUGUUAAGUGCUGAAUUAAUGAAAGUGGCCGAUAUUUCUAUAUCUAAUGGCCUGUACUGGUUGAUGUUGUUUUUAUUGCCACAUGCCUAAAGAUGUGUAUAAAUGUGUAAAUAUUAAUGACUUUUUACUUCUCUAAAUGCUAACUGAUGGCCUGAUGGGUUGAUGUGUGCUUCAUCUGGCAGAUAUAUACAUGUGUGUGUGUGCGCGAGCUUGAGCUGUCUAACAGAAAAUCUAUGCUUAACACAUAUGAAAGGGUUACUAAAUUGUUCAAUUUUUCAGUUCUUUGAUGUUCCUGCAUAAUUAAUCCAAUUGUUUCCACUAAAUUUUGUUUCAAAUUAUUUGUACUUCUUCUAAAAACAUGAAAUGUGGAGAGCAUUUAGUGCAUAGCUGUUGUUGCGUGAAAACUGCAAGUGUGAGCGUCGCCAUGUGCGCGUGUGAUUGAUCUGAAGCUUUUUUCACUUUGGCUACGGAUGGUUGUUGGAUGUCUAAUGGACGCUGGAUGGCUGGCAGCAUGUUACAGCGUAACUGCCUGAAGGCAAGUCACCUGAUCCCAGUCCAUGCGUGUGGGCCAUGCGUUCGAGGUCAUGGGUAUUUUUUUUUCUUUUUUGGUUGGGGAUGGUAGAAGCAGUUAGUGGGAGGAGGGAUCAUAUGUGGGAAGGAAGUGAUUGAACCAUCACCACCACCACGAUGACGAUGAUGGAUUCCGCUUUAAAAAUAGAGAUUUGUUGUCACAUUGGUUGAUUGACAUAAUUCUUGAAAGUUGAUACUAAAAAUUAAUUAUGAAUUUGAUAUUGGAGGCACCUAAUAAUAUGAAGCAGAUCGAUUCUUUAUAUGAUAUUUUGUGUUAUAUAUUUUUCGCCUGCAUUCAGAAUGAAACUACUUUGAACAAUUCAUUGUGUCUGAAUUGUUGAUGCAUCUUGUCUUGCCUGAAUGCAUACUAGUUGGCCAAUUGAUUUUAUAUAUUGUCUUAUUUGAUUUUAUUAAAUCAUGACUUUGAUUUUACAUUACCUUUCAAAGUCCGUUCCAGGUCACUUUAAAUCAUGGAUCCGCCACUGCAACCAGUGGACCAAUCAUGGGAAGAAACCUUCUCCCACACUCACAAUCAAGGGUUUAGGCUGGUCCACACUAGGCACCCCAAAUUUUAGAAAAUGGCAUUGCUCAUGGGCCUCGCUUGUGUUAGAUGAUGUACAUACGGUAUAAGUAUAAAUCGUGUAGAGAAUCGUGUGGGUGGUAGAUUCUGUUAUCUUGUAGGUAGUUAGAAUCGGAUCCUAUAUAGAUCGAUCUAACCUAACCGACUUGAUGUAUAUCUUAUGUAAUCCUACCUUAUAUAAACACGAAUGCAUCCCUGCUAAUGUAUCAUAUGCU
rnacentral:lncRNA from 1 species